rnacentral:rRNA from 1 species
GAUCAUGGCUCAGGAUGAACGCUGGCGGCGUGCUUAACACAUGCAAGUCGAACGGGAAAUACUUUAUUGAAACUUCGGUGGAUUUAAUUUAUUUCUAGUGGCGGACGGGUGAGUAACGCGUGGGUAACCUGCCUCAUACAGGGGGAUAACAGUUAGAAAUGACUGCUAAUACCGCAUAAGCGCACAGUACCACAUGGUGCGGUGUGAAAAACUCCGGUGGUAUGAGAUGGACCCGCGUCUGAUUAG